AUGGAUACAACUCGUCUCAACUGUGCCGCAUAGGUUACCUCCACCCCAUUCUAGUCGUGCCUCCACGUGUGAGCCUCCUUCACAUCCUCUCCAAUCCCUCCAGUGGAUCGAUCAUCUCCGACGAGACCCCUCUGUUCCGGGUGAGUCCACGCGCGGUGCACCCUCCUCUAGCCGGAUCCCCCUCGGUAUUGGGUGCGCGCCCCCUCUUACAGCCAGAUCCUCCCCUCCCCUUGCUUCUGGGCGGUGUGCGUGGAGCUAGUUCCGGAUCCUCCCCGUCCUCAUCUCUCCUUCCUCUCUCAUCAGGAAGGGGCUGCUUCAAAUAACGAGGCCCAGGUAACUGAAUGCUAUUCUGCACUUGUGGAGUUGUGUCUGAAGAAUCUGAAACCAUGUUCUUCAAUGCAUCCAAAUCAUCAACACUGUAUUGUAAUGACCAGUUACUAAAAUUUCUGUAAAAUCAUCAGAAUCAGUUGGAACUAAGUGUUCAGUAUCCCUGCAGCCUUCCUUAUUUUGCAGUCCACCGAUCAGAUUUUUCAUGCAGUCUUUGGCUUAGUUAUUUUGCCUCAGUUGUUAUCACCCAAUGCGAUUGAAAAUACAUGGAUAUCCUAAGUAGCAUCAGGUGUGCCUGUUUUACUAAAACACAUGAUUGCACUAAGGUAAUCUGUUUCUUUUGGUUGUAUUCUUUCACAUAACCUAUUGGUGAGUUUUUCCA